CUCUUGUCUCGAUAAAUUGGUAAAGUAAACUCUUAUUUUUUCAGAGCACAAAUUUGUGAUACAUGAAAACCUCAGGAGUGAUAAUGUGUAUUGUAAUCUACAGAAACCCCCAGCAAUCAUUCUCUCGAGAACUAGGGUUGUGCAUAUUAUUUUUUCUUCCCAUUUCAAUGAGGAUGACAAUAAGUUUCGUCUUGUUUACGAAGCGAUGGAUGAAGAGCCACCGAAGAUGAUCGUAGUGAGAGCAACUAGUAUACCAGAUCUUCAAGACAGUGCAUUAUAUGAAACAAACGAAGCUCAUGAAGAUAGCACGGAAAAGCUGGUGCGACAGUAUGGUAGUAGAUAUCAAUACAUAAGUAAGUACAAGCCCUUACUCUUGAAUAUUUUGAUAUAUUUUACAAAGGAUAGAAUGAUUUGAGGAA